AUUGAACGCUGGCGGCAGGCCUAACACAUGCAAGUCGAGCGGAUGACGGGAGCUUGCUCCUUGAUUCAGCGGCGGACGGGUGAGUAAUGCCUAGGAAUCUGCCUGGUAGUGGGGGACAACGUUUCGAAAGGAACGCUAAUACCGCAUACGUCCUACGGGAGAACGCAGGGGACCUUCGGGCCUUGCGCUAUCAGACGAGCCUAGGUCGGAUUAGCUUGUUGGUGAGGUAAUGGCUCACCAAGGCGACGAUCCGUAACUGGUCUGAGAGGAUGAUCAGUCACACUGGAACUGAGACACGGUCCAGACUCCUACGGGAGGCAGCAGUGGGGAAUAUUGGACAAUGGGCGAAAGCCUGAUCCAGCCAUGCCGCGUGUGUGAAGAAGGUCUUCGGAUUGUAAAGCACUUUAAGUUGGGAGGAAGGGUUGUAGAUUAAUACUCUGCAAUUUUGACGUUACCGACAGAAUAAGCACCGGCUAACUCUGUGCCAGCCGCCGCCGUAA
rnacentral:rRNA from 1 species